rnacentral:rRNA from 1 species
AACGAACGCUGGCGGCAUGCCUAACACAUGCAAGUCGAACGAUAUCUUCGGGUCUAGUGGCGCACGGGUGCGUAACGCGUGGGAAUCUGCCCUUUGGUUCGGAAUAACAGUUGGAAACGACUGCUAAUACCGGAUGAUGACGAAAGUCCAAGGAUUUAUCGCCAGAGGAUGAUCCCGCGUAGGAUUAGCUUGUUGGUGUCGUAAAGGCGCACCAAGGCGACGAUCCUUAGCUGGUCUGAGAGGAUGAUCAGCCACACUGGGACUGAGACACGGCCGAGAUGGCUACGGGAGGCAGCAGUGUGGAAUAUAGGACAAUGGGCGAAAGCCUGUUCCAGCAAUGCCGAGUGAGUGAGGAAGGCCUUAGGGUUCUAAAGCUCGUUUACCCGGGAUGAUAAUGACAGUACCGGGAGAAUAAGCUGCGGCUAACUCCGUGCCAGCCGCCGCCGUAAGAC